GCAAGUCGAACGAGAACCAGGGAGCUUUGCUCCCUGGGGACAGUGGCGAACGGGUGAGUAACACGUGAGUAAUCUGCCCUUGAGUGGGGAAUAACUCCGCGAAAGCGGGGCUAAUACCGCAUAAUACUUUGGUGCAUACGCAUUCAGAGUCAAAGCCCUCGGGCGCUUGAGGAUGAGCUUGCGACUUAUUAGCUUGUUGGUAGGGUAACGGCCUACCAAGGCUGUGAUGAGUAGCCGGCCUGAGAGGGUGAUCGGCCACACUGGGACUGCGACACGGCCCAGACUCCUACGGGAGGCAGCAGUAGGGAAUUUUGCGCAAUGGGGGAAACCCUGACGCAGCGACGCCGCGUGGAGGAUGACGGCCUUCGGGUUGUAAACUCCUGUCAGAGGUGAAGAAAGCACUUCGGUGUUUGACGGUAACCUCAGAGGAAGCCCCGGCUAACUACGUGCCAGCAGCCGCGGUAAUACGUAGGGGGCAAACGUUGCUCGGAAUUACUGGGCGUAAAGGGUGUGUAGGUGGCUGUGCAAGUCGAAGAUGAAAUCCCAUGGCUCAACCAUGGAAUGGUCUUCGAAACUGCACAGCUUGAGGAUGGUUGAGGAAGACGGAAUUCCCGGUGGAGCGGUGAAAUGCGUAGAUAUCGGGAGGAACACCAGAGGCGA
rnacentral:rRNA from 1 species